UACGAAGGGGGCUAGCGUUGCUCGGAAUGACUGGGCGUAAAGGGCGCGUAGGCGGUUUGUACAGUCAGGUGUGAAAUUCCCGGGCUCAACCUGGGGGCUGCACUUGAUACGUAUGGACUGGAGUGGGGAAGAGGGUCGUGGAAUUCCCAGUGUAGAGGCGAAAUUCGUAGAUAUUGGGAAGAACACCGGUGGCGAAGGCGGCGACCUGGUCCUUGACUGACGCUGAGGCGCGAAAGCGUGGGGAGCGAACAGG
rnacentral:rRNA from 1 species